rnacentral:rRNA from 1 species
GAUGAACGCUGGCGGCGUGCCUAAUACAUGCAAGUCGAGCGAACAGAUGAGAAGCUUGCUUCUCUGAUGUUAGCGGCGGACGGGUGAGUAACACGUGGGUAACCUACCUAUAAGACUGGGAUAACUCCGGGAAACCGGGGCUAAUACCGGAUAAUAUUUUGAACCGCAUGGUUCAAUAGUGAAAGACGGUUUCGGCUGUCACUUAUAGAUGGACCCGCGCCGUAUUAGCUAGUUGGUAAGGUAACGGCUUACCAAGGCGACGAUACGUAGCCGACCGGAGAGGGUGAUCGGCCACACGGGAACUGAGACACGGUCCAGACUCCUACGGGAGGCAGCAGUAGGGAAUCUUCCGCAAUGGGCGAAAACCUGACGGAGCAACGCCGCGUGAGUGAUGAAGGUCUUCGGAUCGUAAAACUCCGUUGUUAGGGAAGAACAAAUUUGUUAGCAACUGAACAAGUCUUGACGGUACCUAACCAGAGAGCCACGGCUAACUACGUGCCAGCCGCCGCCGUAA